rnacentral:rRNA from 1 species
GUCUACGGCCACGCCCCCCUGAAUGAGCCGGUGUCUGAUCUCGGAGGCUAAGCGGGGCCGGGCCUGGUUAGUGCUUGGAUGGGAGACCACCUAGGAAGACCAGGUGCUGUAGGCG